CACUGGAAGACAUGCUUCGCAUGAGUGUUUUGGAUUUUGGAGGUCAAUGGGAUGAGCAGCUAGCUUUGGUGGAGUUUGCCUACAACAACAGUUAUCACUCCAGUAUAGGGAUGCCACCCUAUGAGGCACUAUAUGGAAGAAAGUAUAGGUCUCCUCUGUGUUGGACGGAAAUGGGGGAAGCGAAGGUGCAUGAUGUAGACCUAGUGCAGUACACUUCAGAGAUAGUUCCUUUAAUCAGGGAACGACUGAAAACAGCUUUCAGUAGGUAGAAGAGUUAUGCAGAACCCAGACAGAGGGAUGUGGAGUUUGCAGUGGGCGACUAUGUAUUCCUGAAGAUUUCUCCAAUGAAGAGAGUCAUGAGAUUUGGAAAGAAGGGCAAGUUGGCACCUCGGUAUAUUGGACCUUUUGAGGUUACUGAUAGAGUUGGAGCAGUUGCCUACCGGUUGGAGCUACCACCCAACCUUUCUCACGUUCAUCCCGUGUUUCACAUCUCUAUGCUCAGGAAAUACAUUCCCGAUCCUUCUCAUGUACUACAGUCGGAUGUAAUAGAACUAAAGGAGAACUUGACAUUUGAGGAGCAACCUGUAGCCAUAGUGGACUACCAAUUGAGACAGCUAAGAUCAAAACAGAUCCCUAUGGUUAAGGUUUUGUGGAGGAGCCAGUCAGUGGAAGAGUGCACCCGGGAGUCAGAACGGGACAUGCGUAGCAAGUACCCUUAUCUGUUCAAUGUGUAAUCAUGUACUUUAUUCUGCCUUGUGUAAAAUCCGAGGACGAAUUUUCUGUAAGGGGGGGAGAAUGUAACACCCCUGAUUUUUUAUAUAUUAUUAUUGGGCUUCGUGUAGGUAUCCUCAAUUCGCGGAAAUUCAACAGUUGUCCGGAUCUGUGAAUUUCCGGCCAGACAGACCAGCUACCGGAAAAGUCUUUGGAUUGGAUCGAGGUUUUGGCUACCCCACCAUUGUCAGGCAUCUCGAGCGCGUUCCCGAAGUCGGAAUCGGCAAAGGUGAGCCGGGACAGCCUUCUUCCUCCGCUCAGCCGCCACAGUGAUUGCCGUCAAGUCUGCCACAGGAGGAUAUUUUUGAGGUUAACCUGCUUCCUUUCCUCGCAGGUUGUUUAUCAAUAUUUGUGUAAUUUUAUUUACUCCUAGAAUUUCCGCAUGUGUUAGAAAUGUUUAUUUGAUUUGGGUCUGUAAACUAAAUUAUUAUUGUGGACCUAUAAAAAUUAUUAUAUGCAUGUUUAAUGGACUGGAUGAGGGAGCUGAGCUCCCAUUUAUCAUUAUGAUGAUAUGAGUAUGUGGAGGGUGAGCUGAGCUCCCCAAUGGAUUGUUUAUUGUGUUUACAGGUCGGGUGAGUCAAAAACUCCCCGUUGGUAGGUCCAUUUUAUGGCCGGACUCUGUCCGGUUGGUUUCUUGAAAUUGGGCCCAAAUGGGCCUUAGAGUUGGGU